rnacentral:rRNA from 1 species
CCUACGGGAGGCAGCAGUGGGGAAUAUUGGGCAAUGGGCGCAAGCCUGACCCAGCAACGCCGCGUGAAGGAAGAAGGCUUUCGGGUUGUAAACUUCUUUUCUCAGGGACGAAACAAGUGACGGUACCUGAAGAAUAAGCCACGGCUAACUACGUGCCAGCAGCCGCGGUAAUACGUAGGUGGCAAGCGUUAUCCGGAUUUACUGGGUGUAAAGGGCGUGUAGGCGGGAAGGCAAGUCAGAUGUGAAAGCCAUGGGCUCAACCUGUGGCCUGCAUUUGAAACUGUCGUGCUUGAGUACUGGAGAGGCAGACGGAAUUCCUAGUGUAGCGGUGAAAUGCGUAGAUAUUAGGAGGAACACCAGUGGCGAAGGCGGUCUGCUGGACAGAAACUGACGCUGAGGCGCGAAAGCGUGGGGAGCAAACAGGAUUAGAUACCCGAGUAGUC